GACGAGGUGGCAGAGUGGUUAAGGGGAUGGACUGCCAAUCCAUUGUGCUUUUCACGCGUGGGUUCGAAUCCCAUCCUCGUCG
rnacentral:tRNA from 2 species